rnacentral:rRNA from 1 species
AUUGAACGCUGGCGGCAUGCUUUACACAUGCAAGUCGAACGGUAACAGGGAGCUUGCUCCGCUGACGAGUGGCGAACGGGUGAGUAAUGCGUCGGAACGUGCCGAGUAGUGGGGGAUAACGCAGCGAAAGUUGUGCUAAUACCGCAUACGUACUGAGGUAGAAAGUGGGGGACCUUCGGGCCUCACGCUAUUCGAGCGGCCGACGUCUGAUUAGCUAGUAGGUGAGGUAAAGGCUCACCUAGGCGACGAUCAGUAGCGGGUCUGAGAGGAUGAGCCGCCACACUGGGACUGAGACACGGCCCAGACUCCUACGGGAGGCAGCAGUGGGGAAUUUUGGACAAUGGGCGAAAGCCUGAUCCAGCCAUGCCGCGUGUCUGAAGAAGGCCUUCGGGUUGUAAAGGACUUUUGUCGGGGAGGAAAUCCCCAGCGCUAAUACCGCUGGGGGAUGACAGUACCUGAAGAAUAAGCACCGGCUAACUACGUGCCAGCCGCCGCGGUAAAAC